rnacentral:rRNA from 1 species
GAUGAACGCUGGCGGCGUGCCUAAUACAUGCAAGUCGAGCGAACAGACGAGGAGCUUGCUCCUUUGACGUUAGCGGCGGACGGGUGAGUAACACGUAGGUAACCUACCUAUAAGACUGGGAUAACUUCGGGAAACCGGAGCUAAUACCGGAUAAUAUUUCGAACCGCAUGGUUCGAUAGUGAAAGAUGGCUUUGCUAUCACUUAUAGAUGGACCUGCGCCGUAUUAGCUAGUUGGUAAGGUAACGGCUUACCAAGGCAACGAUACGUAGCCGACCUGAGAGGGUGAGAGGCCACACUGGAACUGAGACACGGUCCAGACUCCUACGGGAGGCAGCAGUAGGGAAUCUUCCGCAAUGGGCGAAAGCCUGACGGAGCAACGCCGCGUGAGUGAUGAAGGUCUUCGGAUCGUAAAACUCUGUUAUUAGGGAAGAACAAACGUGUAAGUACCUGUGCACGUCUUGACGGUACCUAAUCAGAAAGCCACGGCUAACUACGUG